CAGGCCUAACACAUGCGAGUCGAACGCGUAAGGGACUUCGGUCCUUAGUAGAGUGGCGCACGGGUGAGUAACGCGUGGGAACGUACCCUGGAGUGGGGAAUAACCAUUGGAAACGAUGGUUAAUACCGCAUAAUGUCUUCGGACCAAAGAUUUAUCGCUCUUGGAUCGGCCCGCGUUAGAUUAGUUUGUUGGUGGGGUAAUGGCCUACCAAGACUACGAUCUAUAGCUGGUUUGAGAGGACGACCAGCCACACUGGGACUGAGACACGGCCCAGACUCCUACGGGAGGCAGCAGUGGGGAAUAUUGGACAAUGGGCGCAAGCCUGAUCCAGCCAUGCCGCGUGAGUGAUGAAGGCCUUAGGGUUGUAGAGCUCUUUCAACGGUGAAGAUGAUGACGGUAACCGUAGAAGAAGCCCCGGCUAACUUCGUGCCAGCCGCCGCAGUAA
rnacentral:rRNA from 1 species